AUGGCGAUCCCUGUCAUCGACUUCUCCAGGCUUGAUGGCGACGAGAGGGCGGCUGCCCUGGCGGAGAUCGCCGCCGGGUUCGAGCAGUGGGGGUUCUUCCAGCUGGUGAACACUGGCAUCCCUGACGAGCUGCUGGAGAGGGUGAAGAAGGUGUGCAGCGACUGCUACAAGCUGCGCGAGGAGGGGUUCAACGGGUCCAACCCCGCGGUCAAGGCCCUGGCGGCCCUGGUGGAGCGGGAAGGCGAGGGCCUCGCCCCAAGGAAGGUCGAAGGCAUGGAUUGGGAGGAUGUCUUCACCCUCCACGACGACCUGCCAUGGCCCUCCAUCCCUCCAACCUUCAAGGAGACGAUGAUGGAGUACAGGACGGAGCUGAAGAAGCUGGCGGAGAAGCUGCUGGGCGUCAUGGAGGAGCUUCUGGGGCUGGCGGAAGGGCAAAUCACCAAGGUCUUCUCCAAGGACGGCGACUUUAAGCCCUUCUACGGCACCAAGGUGAGCCACUACCCGCCGUGCCCGCGCCCGGAGAUGGUGGACGGGCUGCGCGCCCACACCGACGCCGGCGGCCUCAUCCUGCUCUUCCAGGACGACCGCGUGGGCGGGCUGCAGGUGCUCGGCCGCGAUGGCCGCUGGGCCGACGUCCAGCCCGUGGAGAACGCCAUCGUCAUCAACACCGGCGACCAGAUCGAGGUGAUGAGCAAUGGCCGGUACAAGAGCGCGUGGCACCGCGUCCUGGCCACCCGCGACGGCAACCGUCGCUCCAUUGCCUCCUUCUACAACCCGGCGCGCGCUGCCACCAUCGCGCCGGCGAUCCCGGCCGCCGCCGACUCCGGCACGGGCGGCGACUACCCGAGCUUCUCGUUCGGGGACUACAUGGAGGUGUACAUCAAGCAGAAGUUCCAGGACAAGGAGCCCAGGUUCGCAGCAGCGGCGGCGAUCAAAACUACGGUGGACUGA
rnacentral:rRNA from 1 species